AAGGGCGACUGAAAUGUCAAGAGCUCAGCAUGUGAAUCAGCGGCGCUGAAUUGUGGUCUUACGACUUUUGCGUUCCGACCAUGUUUUUUGGAAUAAAAUAGCACAGAGGGUGAAACUCCCGUGCGUUGGACCUUGUCACUGAGUCGAGUUGUUUGGGAUUGCAGCUCAAAUUGUACGGUGGUAAAUUCCAUCUCAAGCUAAAUACUGGCAGGAAACCGAUAGUAUAAAAGUACCGUGAGGGAAAGAUGCAAAGAACUUUGAAAAGAGAGUGAAAGAGUACCUGAAAUUGCUGAAAAGGAAGCGAACGAAGCUAGUGAAGCUGCGUCAUACUUUCCAACUUGCUUGCAAUUUGGACGCUGUGGCCAGCCCAGUUGGGCUUGAU
rnacentral:rRNA from 1 species